rnacentral:tRNA from 1 species
GGGGAUGUAGCUCAGACGGCAGAGCGAUUCCUUUACACGGAAUAUGUCGGCGGUUCGAUUCCGUCCGUCCCUACCA